rnacentral:rRNA from 1 species
UACGAAGGGGGCGAGCGUUGUUCGGAAUUACUGGGCGUAAAGGGUGUGUAGGUGGAUGAGUAAGAUAGCGGUGAAAUACCUGGGCUUAACUUAGGAAUUGCCGUUAUAACUAUUUAUCUAGAGUGACAGAGAGGAUAUUGGAAUACCCAGUGUAGAGGUGAAAUUCGUAGAUAUUGGGUAGAACACCGGAGGCGAAGGCGAGUAUCUGGCUGUCAACUGACACUGAGGCACGAAAGCAUGGGGAUCAAAC